AGUAAAAGUCGUAACAAGGUUUCCGUAGGUGAACCUGCGGAAGGAUCAUUAACGAGUUCUUGAACAGGUUGUAGCUGGCUCUUUCUAACCGGGAGGGCAUGUGCACGCCUGGCUCAAUCCACUCUUUUAACCUCUGUGCACUUUUUGUAGGUUGGCAGAAGACUGACGCGAGUCGGUUUUGAAGUCUUCCUAUGUUUUUACUACAAACGCUUCAGUUAUAGAAUGUGUACUUGCAUAUAACGCAAAUAUAUACAACUUUCAGCAACGGAUCUCUUGGCUCUCGCAUCGAUGAAGAACGCAGCGAAAUGCGAUAAGUAAUGUGAAUUGCAGAAUUCAGUGAAUCAUCGAAUCUUUGAACGCACCUUGCGCUCCUUGGUAUUCCGAGGAGCAUGCCUGUUUGAGUGUCAUGGAAUUCUCAACCCUCAAAUUCUUUUAUGGAAUUCUGAGUGGCUUGGAUUUGGAGGUUGUGCUGGCUUAACCUACUAAGUCAGCUCCUCUGAAAUGCAUUAGCGUGAAUCUUACUAAUCGCCGUCAGUGUGAUAAUUGUCUACGCUGCGGCCGAUAAGUGAAUUAGUGUUCAUGCUUCUAAUCGUCUCUUAACUG
rnacentral:rRNA from 1 species